rnacentral:rRNA from 1 species
GACGAACGCUGGCGGCGUGCCUAAUACAUGCACGUAGAACGCAGUUUCGAACGGGUGAGUAACGCGUAGGUAACUGCCUCAUAGCGGGGAAUAACUAUUGGAAACGAUAGCUAAUAACGCAUACUGUGAUAUGGACAUGCGUUGUAUUCGUUAGUUGGUGAGGUAAAGGCUCGCCAAGGCGACGAUACAUAGCCGACCUGAGAGGGUGAUAGGACACACUGGGACUGAGACACGGCCCAGACGCACACGGGAGGCAGACGUAGGGAAUCUGCGGCAAGGGCCGGUAGUGUUACCGAGACACGCGGCGUGAGUAAAGAAGAGUUUCGGAUCGUAAAGCUCUGGUGUUAGAGUAGCGGUAACUAACCAGAAAGGGACGGCUAACUACGUGCCAGCAGCCGCGGUAAUUC